UCUGCCUGGUGCAUCUAUAUUUUUAACUGUUGUUAAUUCAUUGCAAAUUGCUCUCCAUUAUAAAAAACUCAUAGACUUUGUAGAUUCAAUUACAAAAAAGUAUGGAAAUAUUACUCGUUUUAUCUUAGGAAAAGAUGUGGUCGUAGUACUUUCAAAACCCGAAGAUUGUAGGCUUGUGCUUUCGAACGUAAAUGGUACCUACAAAGCAUCGGUGACCAAAACACGGGA